AACCUGCUCGCUGGUGAACGUGUCAGCUGAGGUGAAGGAGUUCAAAUGAUGAAGCAGGAUCAUAUUUCAGCUCCAUGAUGUGUUUCUCUAAUGUUCAUAUCAACAUGACUGUCUCUUCUUCUCUUCUCUUUUAGCCACACUAGCAGCAUGGCUCUGAUGUUAAUGUCAGUCUGUUGGUCAGUCCACUACUUUAGUCCAGAUGGACUGGAUCUGGACUAAAGGAUGGAGGGAUGGAUUGACAUGAAACCUUUAACAGACAUUCUUGGUCCCCAGAGGAUUAACUUCAUGAAGGGACUUUGUUGAUUCUGACUUUUUAUUCCAGCGCCACCAUCAGGUGGACGUUUGUGGUUCAGACUGAAAUAUCUCAACAACUAUUGGAUGGAUUGUCUGGUUCAGACGUUCAUGUUCCCCUCAGGAUGAACUGGAAUAACUUUGGUGAUUCUCUGAAAUUUCAUCUAGCGCCACCAUCAGAUAAUCCUGGGGAAACUGAAAACCUUACUGAUGCUGAACUCUUCCCAAACUUAACAGGAACAAUAAAGAUAGAUGGAAACUUUAAUCUUGAUGACCAGCAAAGCCUUCCAGGGGUACCAACUAACGCUGGCACAACGGGAAAUAAAUGCAGUGAUCACAUCGAUGCCAAAGGAAGUCACCCGGCGCCUGGAGGACGUUGUUGGCCU